rnacentral:rRNA from 1 species
GAUGAAUGCUAGCUACAGGCUUAACACAUGCAAGUCGAGGGGCAGCAUGACCUAGCAAUAGGUUGAUGGCGACCGGCGCACGGGUGAGUAACACGUAUCCAACCUACCGGUUAUUCCGGGAUAGCCUUUCGAAAGAAAGAUUAAUACCGGAUAGUAUAACGAGAAGGCAUCUUUUUGUUAUUAAAGAAUUUCGAUAACCGAUGGGGAUGCGUUCCAUUAGUUUGUUGGCGGGGUAACGGCCCACCAAGACAUCGAUGGAUAGGGGUUCUGAGAGGAAGGUCCCCCACAUUGGAACUGAGACACGGUCCAAACUCCUACGGGAGGCAGCAGUGAGGAAUAUUGGUCAAUGGACGAGAGUCUGAACCAGCCAAGUAGCGUGAAGGAUGACUGCCCUAUGGGUUGUAAACUUCUUUUAUAUGGGAAUAAAGUGAGCCACGUGUGGCUUUUUGUAUGUACCAUACGAAUAAGGAUCGGCUAACUCCGUGCCAGCAGCCGCGGUAAUACGGAGGAUCCGAGCGUUAUCCGGAUUUAUUGGGUUUAAAGGGAGCGUAGGCGGACUAUUAAGUCAGCUGUGAAAGUUUGCGGCUCAACCGUAAUAUUGCAGUUGAUACUGGUCGUCUUGAGUGCAGUAGAGGUAGGCGGAAUUCGUGGUGUAGCGGUGAAAUGCUUAGAUAUCACGAAGAACUCCGAUUGCGAAGGCAGCUUACUGGACUGUAACUGACGCUGAUGCUCGAAAGUGUGGGUAUCAAACAGGAUUAGAUACCCUGGUAGUCCACACAGUAAACG